CGGGGUGUUGUGUAAUGGUAGCGCGCUUGGUUUGGGACCAAGUAGUCAGAGUUCGAGUCUCUGCACCCCGACAA
rnacentral:tRNA from 1 species